GUUACAUUAAGUUCUAGGUAAAUUUUUGAUUAUGACAUAAUUUAUCUAUAAGUCUUGACCAAAUCAUGUGCCAGCAGUCGCGGUAAGACAUGGAAGACAAGUGUUAUUCAUGAUUAGUGGGUUUAAAGGGUACUCAGACAGUUAAUUAAGCCUAUAUAUAAUACAGGAACUAAUUAUACUAGAGUUUUAUAGGAGAAGGAUAGAACGGUGAGUGGAGAGAUGAAAUAUGUUGAUACCACCUAGAUACUGGCAACAGUGAAGACAACCUUUUAUGUAAUAACUGACGUUAAAGGACGAAGGCUCAAGAGAAAGCAACAGGAUUAGAUACCCCAGUACUGUGGGCAGACAAUGAUGAGUGUCAUAGGUAAGUUAUUUAAUUUAACAAACAAAUUAUAAGUUUACGUAUAAAUGAAAGUGCAAGCACUCCACCUUAAGAGUAACAUGGCAACAUCGGAACUGAAAUCAUUAGACCGUUUCUGAAACCAGUAGUGAAGUAUGUUGUUUAAUUUGAUGAUCCACAAAGAACCUUACCACAAUUUGAAUUAUUCACAGGAGUUGCACGGCUGUCUUCAGUUGAUAUCGUGAGAUUUUGGUUAGAUCCAUCCAUCAACGUAAACCCUUACUUUAUUUUUUUUAUAAAG
rnacentral:rRNA from 1 species